CCGGAGCACCGGGCCAUGAAAAAAGGAACUCGCCCAAUCUCAACACAAGCAACACUACACCGAGCAGCUGUGUUUUUGUCAGAGCUGAGGAGUCGUCCAUACGUCCGCAAGAGUUAAAAGAAAGAGUCCACAAUGAAGACCCAAACUUGUUUCGCCUUCUCCAUACAACUAUUUGCUAUUUGUUUUCUGGUUGGUGCCAUUUACAUGGUGAAUGGUGACUACUGUGAGAUAAAUGUCUGCAGUAAUGGGGGGAGCUGUGUGACUGGCCCCAGAUCCUCCUUCAUCUGUAUCUGCCCUGAUGGCUAUACUGGGGACACGUGCAAUGACACUGAGACUGGGCCCUGCAACCCAAACCCCUGCAAGAACGAUGCCUUCUGCGACGUGACUGGCCAGAAACGCAGAGGGGACGUCUUCAGCGAGUACAUCUGCAAGUGCCAGGAUGGCUUUGAUGGAGUCCACUGCCAGAACAAUGUGAAUGACUGUGCCAACCAGCCGUGCCAAAACGGUGGCUCCUGUAGGGACCUGAAUGGAGACUUCAACUGCCGCUGUCCGUCCCCCUACGUGGGCAAGCACUGCCAACUGCGUUGUAUCUCUCUGUUGGGAAUGGAGGGCGGAGGCAUUGCUGAGUCUCAGAUCUCGGCCUCGUCGGUGCACUACGGAUUCCUGGGCCUGCAGCGCUGGGGGUCUGAGCUGGCACGCCUCAACAACAAGGGCCUGGUUAACGCCUGGACCUCAGCCUCCUAUGACAGGAACCCCUGGAUUGAGAUUAACAUGCAGAGGAAGAUGCGUUUCACGGGCAUCGUGACGCAGGGCGCCAGCCGCAUGGGGUCAGCAGAGUUCAUCAAGGCCUUUAAGGUGGCGUCCAGUCUGGACGGAAGGACCUACACUAUGUACCGCCUGGACAGACAGACGAAGGACACUGUGUUUGUGGGGAACGUGGACAACGACAGCACCAAGACCAACCUGUUUGACCCUCCAAUUAUCAGCCAGUACUUCCGCAUCAUCCCCGUGGUCUGUCGCAAGGCCUGCACCCUGCGCUUUGAGCUGGUGGGCUGUGAGCUCAAUGGUAAACACACAGACCACUGGGCACAAUCAGCACUGCACAGCGACCGCCAGAUCUCGGCCUCCAGCGAAAUCACCGCACCUGGGGCACAGCGAAAUCAGCACCACACAGCUCGGCUGGACAAGCAGCACUAACGCCACAGCGGACACCACCAAACGCAGUGAAGUGGCUGCAGGUGGACCUGGAGUCUCCUAAGAAAAUCACAGGUAUCAUCACCCAGGGGGCCAAGGACUUUGGCGCGGUCCAGUUUGUCUCUGCCUUCAAGGUGUCCUACAGUGACGAUGGGCAAUUCUGGAGCAUAGUCAAGGACGAUGUCACCAGCACAGACAAGAUCUUCCCAGGCAACAGCGACAACAAUGUCCACAAGAAGAACCUGUUCGAGCCUCCGUUCUACGCCCGAUUCGUCCGCAUCCUGCCGUGGGCUUGGCACGGGCGCAUCACCUUGCGAAUGGAGCUGCUGGGCUGUGACGAGUAGCCCCGCCCAGGUCUCCUCUUUCCCCGCCCCCCUCUUCCUUUCGUUCCAAAACCUCCUGAGCCACACCUGCACUGCCUUGCUCAGAUCUGUAGAGGGCAGCAAAACACCACGCCACCACCACAACCCUGCCCCGACUGAGGAGGUACAAAACCACCUAAUGGUUACUGCUAGAAUUGGGUAGGGGUCAUCUGAUCCUAGAUCUGUGCUUAAGGUCAACUUGUACCUCGAGCACACAGACUACUGCUGUGAACUGCAUGGACUCUGAAACUGUCCUUCCUAGAUCAAGGCCUCUGUGUUCAGAGUUUCAGAGUAGGAGUGUUGAUCUUAUUCAUUAUCAUCAUUUAUUUUUUUUUUUUUUCACGAAAGGCAAAACUGAUCCUAGAUCAGCACUGCUACUGUAUACGGGCUGAACCUGAAACCCAGUGAUGAUGUACAAUAGUAGCUCAUUUAGCUGAGAUGUUUUUUCCCAAUAGAGGGUUUUCACCUGACUGUCCUGAAGUGAGUAAUAUUGUUAUUGAACACACUCGUGUGUAUUGUUAGCUUCCAAGCUGUGACUCUGCAGUGCUUUGGUAGAUGUUUUGAACUACUUUGUUUGUGUUUGCUUAAUGAAGAUUCCUCGUGUGACCAUGGACUUUAUACGAAUUUCGUUCUUUUUUUAAUUUUUAAGAAAUGUAUACCAAAUGUAUUUUGCUUUGUUUUUACGUGUAUGGUCUUAGUUAACUUUAGUCAUAAAUGCAUUAUGAUUCAUUAUUAUUUGCAUUUUUACAAAAUUAACGUUUUCUUUUAAGUGUACUGAACAGAAAUAUAAACGCAACAUGCAACGAUUUUAAUGAGGAAAUCAAUCAAUUGCUCGAACCCUAAGGAUUUCAUAUGAUUGGCAGUACAGAUAUGGUAUCUGUUGGUCACAGAUUCCUUAAACAAAAAAUGGGCCUCCUAAUGGGCCUCAGGAUCUCGUCACGGUAUUUUUUUGUGCAUUCAAAUUGGCAUCGAUAAAAUGCAAUUGUGUUCGUUGUCGGUAGCUUAUGCCUGUCCAUACCAUAACCCCACCUCCACCAUGUGGCACUCUGUUCACAAUGUUGACAUCAGCAAACCAUGCGCCCACACGACGCCAUACACAUGGUCUGCAGUUGAGGCCGGUUGGAUGUACUGGCAAACUCUAUAAAACGAUGUUGGAGGCGGCUUAUGGUAGAUAAUUUAAAAUGUUAAUUUAUCUGGCAACACCUCUGGUUGGCAUUCAGCUUGCCAAUUGCACGCUCCCUAAGAACUUGAGACAUCCGUGGCAUUGUGUUGUGUGACACAACUGCAUAUUUUAGUGGCCUUUUAUUGUCCCCAGCACAAGGUCCACGGAUCAUGCUGUUUAAUCAGCUUCUUGAUAGGUGAUCGAGUAUCAUUAAUGGGGAUGUGAAGACAUUUGUGCUCAAAAUUUUAAAGAAAUAAUAUUUUUAAGCAUAUGGAUAAUUUUUUGGGAUCUGUUAUUUCAGUUCAUGAUACAUGGGACCAACACUUUACACGUUGCCUUUUAUAUUUUUGUUCAGCGUAGUAGCAGACUUAACAUUUAGAAAGCAUAGAGACUCUUAUUCUGUAAUCUUGUGACAUUCCAAAACCCCAAAGUAGUUGAAUUCUAUUUUAGUUGAUUAUUUUUUGCCAAAGAGAAGCUUAAAGUGCAGAAAUACUACCUUACAGUAUGUGGUGUUAUAACAUGUGUUAUAACUAAAGUACGUUGUGUAUUAUAACUUGAUGUACUCUGUCCUACAAGAAUGGUUUUAUCACAACUCAAUGUAAUGCAUUUAUUACUAAUUGACAAAUAUUAUAAAGUAGAAAAUAUCGAGUUAGCACAUUGACGAUGCUGCCAAAAUGUCUUUCUCAGGUCUAGGCAGAUCCAUUCUAGUCUGAUCCCAGAUCUGUUUGUGCUGUCUUGCUAAACACAAACAUACGAGUUGUCAAGACAGCACAACUGAUCUGGGACAAGGUAGAUCUAUUCAUUUUGUAUGUGCUACUGAUGUUGUUAUAACACUCCAUGAUACUACACAGCUCAACUCAAUAUCACUCAGCCAUGUUUUCAUUUUUUAUUUUAUAUAUAUAUUUUUUGUUUUUUUGUAUUAUAUAUUUUUUUAAGGCACUUUCAGAGUCAGUUUGAUUAUUCUUUGCUGAGGUAAAUAUGUGAAAUUGUGAAACCCAAAGUUUUGUACAUUGAGGAAAUACAGCAUACAUAUUGACCAUACAUGUAGAUUGAGUGUUGGAAAACAAAGCUUUGUAAUACUAGGCAUCUGUCGUUUCACUGCAUAGGAGAACGGUAUAUAUGGCUUCCAUAAGUUAUCAGGAAGCAAUUUAGAUUUCUCUGUAGAUUUCUGACUGGCAAUAGCAGCCAAAACCACAUUUCCAUCAGUUUUAUUUCGGAGUUGGUUAUCCUUCCUAGUGUAAAUACUUGUUGUUAUAAAUUGUUCCUAGAAGAUGGAAUGUUUUGCAGCAGACUAAUCAAAUACCAUCCAUUUCUCACAAGAGGGCCAAAAUUAUGCGUAGAAUUCGAAGGCUGUGUCCACACUGAUAAGAUAGAAAAUGAAAAAAAAUGUAAUUAAAAAAAGAUUUAUACGGUUGCACUGAACGCAUCACAUGACCGGCUAUCUCCAUGUUGCUCCUCGGUCAUAGCUAACAUUGUAAAGAUCCCUCUUGAAUUAUGGGCUCGUGCAAUAAGUUAUUAGUUUUGAUAUGAAUGAAUCUGAAUCAAACACGAACAGCUGGACAUGUGAGCGAUAGAUGUACACGCAGACAACGACGCAGUUAAGGCUAUGGAUGGAUGCUAGUGUCAAACACUGUCCAAAUAUUUCUGAUCUUUUGCAGACUGUUUCAAAACAGUGAUCUGAUGUCUGCAUGCAUUGUAUUGUCUGUGAUUUCUCAGUUCAAACAGAGAAGUUUUCAUUUAUAGUUUUUCUCUGUACACUUAAAAAAAAAAAAAGAUUGUUCAUCAGACUAGUUGUUUCCGGUUCUUUCAUUCCACAAUGUCCUGGUUUUAUGAGUCAUGAAAAAAUAUACAAUUGAUGUGUUUUUAUGCCAUAUUAUUAGUUACACAUACUUUUACAUCUCACAGUAUUCUGACUGGAUCCGAUUCAUUUUGUUCAUGUUUCUGUUAAGAGAAUUCCCUUGUUUGGCCUUUUGUAACUCUCACGACAUAGAUAAUAAAGGACUUAAAUGCA